UUUUUGAGGCAAGAGAAGUAACACAUGACAUCUUUCUCUCAAAUUAAAAUGUGACUUGUUUGGCCGGUAGGAACGUAGUGGGAGAUGGAAAAGACCGGGAGUCGAAAAGGAAGAGGAGCUUCCCAGAUUAUGAAGAAUGAGGCAUCAGCGUUCUGCAUCAUCAUCCAAUGCAAAGGUAGAGUGGAACAUGACUGAGCACCAUUAUAACCUCACUGGGAUACCACACAGACAGUACUCUACAGGUGCCAGUAUGAAGAUGACUCAACGGAAGUAA
rnacentral:lncRNA from 1 species